rnacentral:rRNA from 1 species
GACGAACCGGAAUGGCCCGUUCUCGGUUACGAGUAUGAGUGCCGUUUUGAGUUUGUCAUCCUUCCAGAGAGCGGCGUCUACCGUUUAUUCGGCCGGAUGCUUGCGAUCUGGAUCUAUUACUUUGAAAAAAUUAGAGUGUUUAAAGCAGGCUUAUGCUAUGAAUACAUUAGCAUGGAAUAAUAAUUUAGGACUUUGGUUCUAUUUUGUUGGUUUCUAGGACUGAAGUA